ensembl:snRNA U2 U2 spliceosomal RNA
GCCACUUCUCGGCCUUUUGGCUAAGAAGAAGUAUGGUAUCUGUUCUUACCAGUUUAAUAGCCAAUACAUUAUCCAAGAUGGGGCUGGGGAUUUAGCUCAGUGGUUCUGCCACCUGCCUUGCAAGCACAAGGUUCCCAGUUUGAUCUCUGGUACCAAAAAAGCAAAAAAAUUAUCCAAGGAUGUUUGCAGCAUGGAGAUGAAAUGAAAGCUUGUUCUACCCUUCCCAUGAAUCAACUUGGUAUUGCAGUGCUUCCAAGAAUGGUGCAUCUUAC